rnacentral:rRNA from 1 species
GAUGAACGCUGGCGGCGUGCCUAAUACAUGCAAGUCGAGCGAACCACUUCGGUGGGAAGCGGCGAACGGGUGAGUAACACGUAGGUGAUCUGCCCAUCAGACGGGGACAACGAUUGGAAACGAUCGCUAAUACCGGAUAGGACGAAAGUUUAAAGAUGCUCCUGGCAUCACUGAUGGAUGAGCCUGCGGCGCAUUAGCUAGUUGGUGGGGUAAAGGCCUACCAAGGCGACGAUGCGUAGCCGACCUGAGAGGGUGGACGGCCACAUUGGGACUGAGACACGGCCCAA